GGUUGUGUGGUCUAGUGGUAUGAUUCUCGCUUUGGGUGCGAGAGGUCCCGAUCUUAAUUCUCGGCACAGCCC
rnacentral:tRNA from 1 species